GUGAUCAUCAAAUUUUUGAACGCAAAUUGCACUCUCCUCGGAGAGUAUGCCUGUUUGAGGGUCAGCCUAUAAAAAAUCGACAUCGUUGCUGUUUCACGGUGACGUUCGUCGGAAAUUGGUUCAUCUUAAAUCCUUUUGAUUUAAGCGACUUAAAAUUUUCUUUUGGUUCCAUGAACGUUUCUAAGAUCUAUUUCUUUACACGUUUAAGGUAUCGAUUUUUACUAGACGUUACCAUCAUAUGGGAUCGCUUCCAUAAUGUUUCAUUAAUUGACCUAAGACAGUUAAGAGUACCC
rnacentral:misc_RNA from 1 species